rnacentral:misc_RNA from 1 species
GAAUCGCGAUAGGAAUUGCGAAUUGCAGAAUUCAGUGAAUCAUCGUAACUUUGAACGCAAACUGCGCUUGGGGGUUGACCCCGAGCAUGCCUCUUUGAGUGUCGGUCAACUCGUCUUGUUGAUUUUCAACAGGGAACUGGGAGUUUUUCAAUCUCCUCAAGCAAGAGUCCCCGCAAGGGAGUGGUCUCUGUGGUUGUCUUGCAGUCACGGCGAGUGGAGCUGAUUUUUUCAAUUCACGAGCGACUGGAUGAUUUCCGUCAGAGGACAUAGCACUCGGCUUCAAAAGUGGUGACUUUUCGGAGAAACCCAUUUGACAUUCCUGACCAACGACCUCAAAUGAGGUAGGAUUACCCGCUGAACUUAA